AAGUCGUAACAAGGUUUCCGUAGGUGAACCUGCGGAAGGAUCAUUAAUGAAACGCGAGGCGAGGUCGUAGCUGGUCCCCUGACACGUGCACGCCUCGUCCCAUGUCUCUCUCACCCCUGUGCACCUCUGCGUUGGGUCCCGUCGGUUCGGGGCUCACGUCCUUUUCAUAAAACACCACAUGUACUCGGAACGUCACACGUUUGUAUCAUCAUACAACUUUCAACAACGGAUCUCUUGGCUCUCGCAUCGAUGAAGAACGCAGCGAAAUGCGAUAAGUAAUGUGAAUUGCAGAAUUCAGUGAAUCAUCGAAUCUUUGAACGCACCUUGCGCCCCUUGGUAUUCCGAAGGGCACACCUGUUUGAGUAUCGUGAAACCAUCAACCCUUCUUUCGUGGAAGGGCUUGGACUUUGGAGGUCUGUUGCUGGUCCCCCGGAUCGGCUCCUCUUGAACGCAUUUAGUGUAGCUGUGUCAGCCCGCCCUUCGGUGUGAUAAUCCAUCUGCAUCGGUGGGGCGUUCGUGAAGCACAGAGGGAACCUUUUUGAUCUCAAAUCAGGUGGGACUACCCGCCGAACUUAA
rnacentral:rRNA from 1 species